rnacentral:rRNA from 1 species
GAACUGAGACACGGUCCAGACUCCUACGGGAGGCAGCAGUAGGGAAUAUUGCUCAAUGGGCGCAASCCUGAAGCAGCAACGCCGCGUGGAGGAUGAAGGUUUUAGGAUUGUAAACUCCUUUUGUCAGAGAAGAUAAUGACGGUAUCUGACGAAUAAGCACCGGCUAACUCCGUGCCAGCAGCCGCGGUAAUACGGAGGGUGCAAGCGUUACUCGGAAUCACUGGGCGUAAAGAGUGCGUAGGCGGGAAGGUAAGUCAGAUGUGAAAUCCUAUGGCUUAACCAUAGAACUGCAUUUGAAACUAUCUUUCUAGAGUGUGGGAGAGGUAGGUGG